rnacentral:rRNA from 1 species
UACAGAGGUCUCAAGCGUUGUUCGGAUUCAUUGGGCGUAAAGGGUGCGUAGGUGGCGUCGUAAGUCGGGUGUGAAAUUUCGGAGCUUAACUCCGAAACUGCAUUCGAUACUGCGGUGCUUGAGGACUGGAGAGGAGACUGGAAUUUACGGUGUAGCAGUGAAAUGCGUAGAGAUCGUAAGGAAGACCAGUGGCGAAGGCGGUCUCUGGACAGUUCCUGACACUGAGGCACGAAGGCCAGGGGAGCAAACAGG